GACGAGCUGGAGCUCUCGGUGCUCGAGCGGCAGCCAGAAGAGAACACGCCUCUCAAUGGUGCCGACAAGGUCUUCCCUUCUUUGGACGAGGAGGUCCCCCCGGCCGAGGCUAACAAGGAAAGCCCCUGGAGCUCCUGUAAUAAGAAUGUGGUUGGAAGAUGCAAACUGUGGAUGAUCAUCACCUCCAUUUUCCUAGGUGUCAUUACAGUGAUCAUCAUAGGCUUAUGUCUUGCUGCAGUAACUUAUGUUGAUGAAGAUGAAAAUGAAAUACUUGAAUUAUCAUCAAACAAAACAUUCUUCAUCAUGCUGAAGAUUCCAGAGGAGUGUGUUGCUGAAGAGGAAUUGCCUCACCUGCUCACCGAAAGGCUCACAGAUGUGUACAGUACAUCGCCCUCUCUGGGUCGUUAUUUUACUUCAGUUGAAAUAGUGGACUUCAGGUAAGAGUGUGGAACAUUACAUUUUGCUCUCUUUCUCUGGAAAGAGAUCCCCCCACCCCACCCUUCGUCAUUUACCUAGCAGGGAUUCCCAGAGCCUCAGAGCAUGAAGGGAACCUGUAAUAGAAUCACAGAAUGUCAGUGCUGGGAAGGUCUUUUACACCAACAGGCUCAACUCCCUUAUUUUACAAAUGAGAAAAAGGAAGCCCAGAUUAAUG
rnacentral:lncRNA from 10 species